rnacentral:lncRNA from 1 species
AAAAAAAUGUUCUACAACAAAUUGUGCUUCUUACAGUCAGAAAUGAGCUCAAUUCCAAAUUUUAGUGGUGUUACGCAAUACAAUGCAUACUCGUAGAUUUUGUGUUACUGAUUCGUGUAGUAUGGUUGUUUGAAUGGGCAACACUCCCACUAGGACUUCGUUUCGGGAAUUAGUUGUCAGUUUCCACACCAUUUUGUUGCAGCCUCAGCAUCGUCAUCCACAGCUUCAACCAUUGCAGGCUCAAUCAGGAGAUUCUAUGAAUUUAUUGUCAGGGUUUGAGCUGAAGCAUCAUCGGUAACAGGAUAUUCUCUCUCUUUGGUAUGGACUUUUCCACAAGUAGAAUGGCACCUCCGGCCCCACUUGGGUGAACCAUAAGGUCCUCUCCUUGCUUUGCCCGGUGUGCAUUGGCUGUCCCUUGCUCUACAGGAACAUGUGUGAUUGUUAGAUUAUGACGCACUGCAGUGAAUACCCAGCUCUACCGCUAAGAGCCACACUGGAUGAAACUCUAGAAUUUGUAGUCGUGUGGAAAAGAUUCUACUAAACAAGAUAUUGCAACCUUAGAGAAGUCUGGCAUAAAUUGAAGGAACAACCAAAUAGCACAGUUAUAUGGCAGUUAGAUUUGCCCAAAUAAGUACAGAAUGUCUAAAGCCAUAAUGUGAAGAUUAGACACACAAAUAGAUGUUGGAUGGGUGGACUCGGAGCACACACAGAUCCGUUUUAGAUGAAGUGAGCGUUAGAGGUUCUGGAUAGGGCGAUUUACGCUGAAUUUGAGGUCAAAACCAAUGGGAGAUUAGGAUAAGCCCAUUCUCUUGAUUUGAAACGAAGCCAAGAUUCUAGUUCGCAACAGUUUCUUCUAGAAUCCUAACACUCGACAAGAUCAUAAGGCGGCACUGAGGAGAAUCUGAUGGUCACAAAAUUUGCCCCUCCCCAAACCUUAACAAAGCAAUUAUAGAAAUAUAAUAUGGGAAAAGCGUACCUCUCAAACAUCGACAGAUUCGAACGAGUACCUUCGCUUCAUAUUCUGUACACCCCAACGCAGAUGUCAAAGACGAUACAAACUUCUACCGACAACCUUACGACUCACUCAUGUUGCUGAUUUUGUUAACGAACUAGUGACAUAAAUCAACAUUGUUAUUGCCCUCGAAUGGGCUGUCUUGAGCGAUCGUGUCUUCUAUACUGAUAGGAGAGGUGAGAAUUGGUCUCUGCAUGUACUA